UACGUAGGGUGCAAGCGUUUGUUCGGAAUUACUGGGCGUAAAGCGCAUGUAGGCGGCAGCGCAAGUCGGGCGUGAAAUCCCACGGCUCAACCGUGGAAGUGCACUCGAAACUGCGCAGCUAGAGUCCUGGAGAGGAAGGUGGAAUGCUUGGUGUAGAGGUGAAAUUCGUAGAUAUCAAGCGGAACACCGGUGGCGAAGGCGGCCUUCUGGACAGUGACUGACGCUG
rnacentral:rRNA from 1 species